rnacentral:rRNA from 1 species
UACAGAGGUCUCAACCGUUGUUCGGAUUCAUUGGGCGUAAAGGGUGCGUAGGCGGUCGCGUAAGUCAGGUGUGAAAUCCCGGGGCUCAACCCCGGAACUGCAUUUGAUACUGCGUGGCUCGGGUACUGGAGAGGAGACUGGAAUUUACGGUGUAGCAGUGAAAUGCGUAGAUAUCGUAAGGAAGACCAGUGGCGAAGGCGGGUCUCUGGACAGUUCCUGACACUGAGGCACGAAGGCCAGGGGAGCAAACGGG